UACGUAGGGUGCAAGCGUUGUCCGGAAUUAUUGGGCGUAAAGAGCUCGUAGGCGGUCUGUCACGUCGGCUGUGAAAACCCGGGGCUCAACCCCGGGCCUGCAGUCGAUACGGGCAGACUAGAGUGCGGUAGGGGAGACUGGAAUUCCUGGUGUAGCGGUGAAAUGCGCAGAUAUCAGGAGGAACACCGGUGGCGAAGGCGGGUCUCUGGGCCGACUAUGCGCUGAGGAGCGAAAGCGUGGGGAGCGAACAGG
rnacentral:rRNA from 1 species